AGCGGGGAGCAGUGCCAAGAUGGCGGCGCCCAUCAGCCGUGAUAGCCGCCGCUCCGAGCCUGGCGCGGCUCCCUACGGCAACUUCCCGAAUUAUUCCCGGUUCCACCCGCCCGAAGGGCGCAUCAGCCUCCUGCCCCAAGGGCUCCUGCGCAGCCUCUUCCCCGCGGCCACCCGCCCGCUCCUCGGGCUCGAUGUGGGCUGCAACUCCGGGGAGCUCAGCGUGGCUCUGUACCAGCACCUGCUGGGGCUCCAGGACAGCAAUUCCAGCCCGGAGCCGCCAGGGGCCGGGAAGGAGCUGAAGCUGCUGUGCUGUGACAUCGAUCCCGAGCUGAUCCGGAGGGCCCAGCAGAGCAGCCCCUUCCCUGCUUCCAUCUCCUUCGCCAGCCUGGACAUCAUGGACUCGGGGGCCAGGGAGCCCUUCCUGAGCUCCUACCUGGAGCGCUUCGGCCGCUCCUCCUUCGACAUCGGCUUCUGCAUGUCCGUGACCAUGUGGAUCCACCUGAACCACGGCGACAGGGGCCUGCUGGAGUUCCUGGCCCUGCUGGCCUCGCUGUGCACCUUCCUGCUGGUGGAGCCCCAGCCCUGGAGGUGCUACCGGGCGGCCGCGCGCCGGCUCCGCAGGCUGGGCCGCGAUGACUUCGAGCACUUCCGCUCGCUGCGGAUCAACGGGGACAUGGCCGAGAGCGUCACCCGCAUCCUGACCCAGGAGUGUGCCAUGGAGCUGGUCUGCUCCUUCGGGAGCACCUCCUGGGACAGGAGCCUGCUGCUCUUCAAAUCCACCGCUGCCCGUCCCGAGGGCUCCGGCUGAGGGCCGGCCUCGCGCUGCCGUGGGUUCACGGGCGAGGAGGCGGAGUGGGAAUUCCUGAAUCCCUGCUAGGACCGGGCCUUGGCUUCCUGUGGGAGUCCAGGGCAAGGAAUGUGUGUGACUGAUUGUUUUUAACCGGUUUUGUGGGGUGGGAGGUUGUUCAAGGAAGUGCUCCUGGAGUCCAAGUUCCUACAUGUGCUUUCCACGUGUAUUCCCUGGAAUACCAGUCCCUCAGAGGCCUGCCUUGGAUCCAGGUUUGGCCUCACCUGGCCCAGCAAAGGUGAAUUAUUGAUCCCACCUGAAACCCACCCUGGCUGGGACACUGCUGCUGUUCUGGAAUACCAGGGAACAUGCCCUAGGGAAUGUAGAAUGUCCUGAUUGGAACGGCCUCACAAGGAUCCUCCAGUCCAGCUCCUGGCCCUGCACAAGGCAUCCAAAACUCCCCCAGGACUGGGGUGAGGCACCUGCAGGACAAUCCCUUCCCUGGACCCAGCAGCCCAGGCUGAAUUCUCCUAGUACAGGGGUUUAUCCCUAAUGGUGAGUGCUUUUGGGAGAAUUGAAAGGGCCUCACAAGGAUUCUCCAGUCCAGCUUCUGGCCCUGCACAAGACAUUCCAAAAAAAUCCCAUUAACCCCAAAAUCCUGAUGCCCAGGUUGUCCAGACAUUCCCAGACCUCCAGAAUCAUGGAAUAUCCCAGAGCUGAAAGGGACCUGUGAGGAUCUGAGAGUCAUGGAACAUCCAGUGUUGGAAGGGACCUGCCUGGGUCAUCAACUCCAACUCCUGGUCCUGCACAGGACAUCCCAAAAUCCCACCCACUGCCUGAGAGUGUUGCCCAAGCAUUCCCUGACCUCCAGAAUUAUGGAAUAAUCAGAGUUGAAAGGUACCCACAAGGAUCACAGAGUCAUGGAGUACCCUGAGUUGGAAGGGACCAACUCCAACUCCUGGCCCAGGACAACCCAAAAAUCCCCCUGAUGCCAAAAUCCCAGCACCCUGAGCUCUGGCUUCUUGGGGCUGUCACCAUUCCCUGGGGAGUUAUUCCAGUGCCGAGCACCCUCUGGAUGAGGAGCCCUUUCCCAAAAUCCACCCAAAACUCCCCCAGGACUGGGGUGAGGCACCUGCAGGACAAUCCCCUGCCUGGACCCAGCAGCCAGGCUGAACUCUCCCAGGACAGGCUCAUCCCUAACGCUCCGUGCUCCUGCUGUCCAGGAAGGUGUGGGACUGGAGAGGUGGGAGCAGCUCUGGGACCCAGCAAUGGCAGAGC